UCCAUAUCUUGAUCGAUAUUAGACUAAUAUUAUUAGUCCACGAACUGUCAAAUCGUAUGGGUUACCAUGACAACACACUAAUAAUAUUAGAUUAAUACCGUUAGACAAAUGGGCCCCAGGCCACAUAAUAUGAUAUGUCGGAGUAUAUUUUCAUUUAGAUGAAUAUAAUUGCCUGUAAAUGAAACUAAUACAUGUAAUAUUCCUUUGAAUGAAGAUGCAAUUAUAGGCUCUCUAAUACCGAAUCUUUAGACUGAUUGUAUAUUUAAAGUUUUAUAAAAUUAAGUAAUAAAGAUACUUAGUUACAUACUUUAAUGUCGAAAUGGAUUUAUUUUAUAUUUACUUGAGAUAUUUAUUUAUAAAGUAAAUAUUAUGGCACACUUUCAUAAGCUAAAAUAAAAUUGCAUGCAUUUCAAACCCAACGUUAAAUAUUUUCAAUACACGACGUUUUUAACACUAGUCUAGUAUCACUAGUAUCAAGACAUGGUAUAAUAAUAUAAGUACUCCAUUCCGAGAUUCGCGUAUGACCUAACUGACACGCGCCUACGUCAUCAUGCUGUUUACAGGUUCUCAAACUUUGAAAUGUGGGAGAAUUUUAACCAACGGUGAAAAUUAUUUUAACGGCAUUAAUUUUAAGUUAUUCAUGUAGAAACAUAGUAAAUUACAACAAAUCUAAUGUAUUAAAUUAAACUUUAUUUAUCUAUACAAGACAAACGUUUGAAAAACUAAUUCACGGUUACACAUUAAUUACCAAGCUUACGGCGUGAAAAGUUUGGAAAACACUGCGACUGCUGACACUGAGCGAGAAGGAAAUAACAAUUUACACGCGUUCGACAAGGAUGACGGUCAGGGCAUGAAGUUAUCUAGAUCCGAAUUGUCAAAUGUGCACAGCGCUAUCCUGUGUUGCCAGUAGUAUAAACAGAAUUACCCGAAAGUCUGAAAUUUCUUUCGUGAAUCGGAAGAUAUUGCUAACGAGUAAUUAAAAAUGACGUGUUAUUGUAAAAUUUAAGCUAAAAUACAUAUAAAUGAAAAUUAUAAAAUUAUAAAGAAAUAUUCUAACUUAUUAACCAUAGGUAUAAUGUACCCAUGUAACAUGUUAUGUUGAAAUAAAGUGGCAAUGUUAUUGUGACGUAGGCCCGUGUCACUCUGGGAAUGGAAGACCAUGUUUUAUUAGACCAUGUAUCAAGCUAGUCUUAAUUCGGAUUUUAUGAAUGGUGUACAGUCGACGUCAAAGAUAUGUUUACACUUUUGCAUCUUACUCAUUUGUAAUAAGGCGAAAAAUGUAAACAUGUAUUUGAAGUCGACUGUACAAGAUUUAAGCUUGUACAUAUGUAUGUAACAUGUAAAAAACGACCGUGAACUAGGCUACUUUACUAUUGGUUGUAUACUUAUAAAAUAUCUAAGAAUAAACAAUUUGGUUAGGCGUUGGUCUCGCGUUACACUCGAAAGCUGUCCGCAACGAUAACAUACGUGAAAGACUACGUUUAAUAAAAUUACACUCGAUUUUAUUGUGCCAUUACGCAUAAUGACUUUGUUUUUAUUUUCAUGGAUACGAUAAUGAAAUGGAAAUGGAUCUUGUUCGAUUGGCAUGGAUGAGAUAUAAUGUUCUUUAUUUUAUAUGUAGAUCUCUAUAUUACUGCAUAAAUUUGAUCGAUAGUGCAUGAAAUUUACUAUGGUAAUAUUUCUUAAGUGUGUUUUUAUUAAGGCGAUUGUAACAAGCUAGAUUUCGUGUUAAUAUGAUUACAAAAAGUAUUAUUGUGUUGGUUGUACUUGACAUAGUUUAUGUAUAGUUGAAUGGCAGACUACUAAUAUAAUAAAUAAUAAUAAUAUAGAUCUCUGUUAAGAUUUUAUGAACUGAAGUGUCAGAUCGGGGUAGUGUUCGCUCGAUUGCAAAAAUAAUUCGACACCAGUAUGUACUUAGAAAAUGUAGAAUCCUGACAUAAAGCAACAUAAGAGGUUCACUUUGAUUUGCUGGUUUUACUCUCAGCUCAUGAUAUUGCGACCAAAAGCCUUGCGUUGUUACUAGCUGACUUAAAAAUAGAUGGAAUAAGCAUUUAAUGGUCAAGUUAUAGCAGCUAAUAAUUGUAACCGCGGGUGUAAUUCUGCCGCGCUAAGCAUAAGAGCAGUAACUCAUUUUCAAAUCUCUUUCAAUUGUAUAUCGCACAAGUACAAAGCAAUUGAAUGACAUUUCAAAACGAGUUACUGCUCAUAUGCUUAGCGCGGCAGAACUUGUAGUGUAUGUUUGACAAAAUAAUUGCAUUUACUUGACUUAUACCUCUAGGUAAAGAUGUCCCAUACAAAAGCGGGUCAAAGUAAACAUGGAAUAAGUGAAAUUUGAUAGCUUUGCGGUCCCCAUCGCCGUAUACUAGAAAAAAAGUAAUUUCAUCUCAAUUACUAAAACUACUUCAUUAAAAAUAAAUGGACGUAUUUCAUGUGUCCAAUAUCUUGGUCCAAUGUCGUUGCGGCUCACUCUCUCAUUAAGCGAAAUGUCAGACAAAAUACACAUUGGACAAAGAAAUUGGACAGAUGGAAUACCACCCUUAGCGAAAAGGAUCCAUCCUCAAAAAAAUGUCAUUUACAUGAAAAAGUUUUCGUUUAGACAGAAUAUCAAUGUUAUUGACUUUUUGUUGGUUGGAUCUUUCCCUAAAUUACUAGAUUUCCCCCAGUAGUGUGUGACUUAUACAUGUAGGCUGUGAUAUUACUUAUAUCAAUUUUAAACUAAUAAGCCUUAAGUCAUUUAAGCUCUUGACGAAUUAGAAGUAGACCCCAAUUUUAUAUAGGGUUUGCAAUCUGGAUCCGAAAUGUAUGAAAUUGUCUGGAUCUGGAUCCGCGGAUCUUCCCAUACAUUUCGGAUCCGUCGUGCAAACCCUAUUUUAUAUAACGGUUUUAUUUGUUUUCGCAACUGGUUGUUAAUCAAUUUUAUUCAAAGAUAGAUCUUAUAGCAUUUUAUAUGAAGCAUGCAAUAAGUUUUUCACAUAAUCUUAUAAUUGCCAGUGAACUAAUUAAUGGCGCACAAUAGAUGUGUAAGGAGUUUAAAGCUAUAUUUAUUACAACAGAGCUGUUUUGUAAGAGUUGUUUUGAUUUCUAAUAAAUGUAAUAAAAAAAUGUUGCAGC